GGAGAGGUGUCCGAGCGGUCGAAGGAGCACGCCUGGAAAGUGUGUAUGCGGCAACGCAUCGAGGGUUCGAAUCCCUCCCUCUCCGCCA
rnacentral:tRNA from 1 species